CUGUACGUGCUAAUAAUUAACUUGAAAUGGCAUUUACGAUGGUGAGAUGUGCUGUGUGCUGCUCUCCCUUCAUCCCCCAGCAACCAGAACGUGCUGACUCUGAACAGAAGAGAAGAAGCAGUGGGUGUGGCCAGCAGCGUAAGAGAAAGCAGGCUCCAGUCCCGGCUCUCGGACCCACAGCUGUGUGACGGCCCUGCGUGUCAGAUGUAAAGACUUGGCCAAGGUCACAGAGAAAGGGGGCAGCAGAUCUCCUGCUUCCCAUCUGCAGCUCUUUCUAUGUGCUCCGUAGCCAGUGACGAGACCAGCCCCAGUGGGCCACAGCGACAGCCAG